GUCUUUUUAUAUUCAGCUGUGGUUGAUGUGAAUACUGCCCCCUUGUGAUAGUAACAGCAAACCAUCCCAUGACAAUGGAUUGUGUAGAGAACAUUAAGAAAAGAAAAUAUAGUGGGGAUUUUUUACAGUAUGGUUUUACCUCAAUAAAUACAGCAAGAAUUGAGAAACCGCAAUGUGUUAUUUGUAGUGAAGUUCUAUCAGCCGAAUCUAUGAAGUUGAACAAACUAAAAUGCCAUUUUGUUAGCAAGCAUCCGAGCUUUGCUGGCAAGGAUACCAACUAUUUUAGAAGCAAAGCUGAUGGACUCAAGAAAGCCAGACUUGACACUGGUGGCAAGUACCACAAACAAAACAUAGCAGCUGUUGAAGCUUCAUAUUUGGUGACACUCGGAAUUGCCAGAACUAUGAAACCUCACACCAUUGCUGAAGAUUUACUGUUGCCAGCUGCCAAAGACAUUGUUUGAGUUAUGAUCGGAGACAAAUUUGUUAUGAAAUUGAGUGCAAUUUCCAUAUCUAACAACACUGUCCACAGAAGAAUAGAUGGCAUGUAUGCUGGUAUUCUUGAUCAGGUAAUCCAGAAUAUUAAAUCUGCUCCACUUCCAAUAUUUAGUAUCCAACUUGAUGAAUCUACAGGUGUUGCAAACUGUUCACAGUUACUGGUUUACGUGAGGUAUAUUAAUGAAUACAACUUUAAAGAUGAGUUUCUUUUUUGCAAACCUCUUGAAAUGACAACUAUUACACGUGAUGUAUUUGACACAGUUGGUUCAUUUCCGAAAGAGCAUAAGAUCUCUUGGGAAAAGGUUUGUGGUUUUUACACAGAUGGUGCUCUAGCUAUGCUGGGAUGUAGAUUGGGAUUUCAACGUUUGGUAUUGAAUGAGUCACCAAAAGUCAUCGGAACUCACUGUAUGAUUCAUCAGCAAAUAUCAGCAAUAAAGACACUGCCACAGAGUUACAAGAAGUAAUGAAAAGCACCAUAAAUUCUGUCAAAUUUGUAAAGGCAAGCACUUUAAAUAGUCGACUGUUUUUGCAACUGUUCAACGAGUUGGAUGCGCCGAACAAUGCUCUACUAUUUCACACUGAAGAGAGAUGGUUGUUGAGAGGAAAAGUUUUAAAACGAGUUUUUGAGCUUCGUGCUGAA